UACGUAGGGCGCAAGCGUUGUCCGGAAUCAUUGGGCGUAAAGAGCUCGUAGGUGGUCUGUUACGUCUGCUGUGAAAUCUUAGGGCUUAACCCUGGGCCUGCAGUGGAUACGGGCAGACUAGAGGUAGGUAGGGGAGAAUGGAAUUCCCGGUGUAGCGGUGAAAUGCGCAGAUAUCGGGAGGAACACCGGUGGCGAAGGCGGUUCUCUGGGCCUUACCUGACACUGAGGAGCGAAAGCGUGGGGAGCGAACAGG
rnacentral:rRNA from 1 species